UACGUAGGGUGCAAGCGUUAAUCGGAAUUACUGGGCGUAAAGCGUGCGCAGGCGGUUCGGAAAGAGAGGUGUGAAAUCCCAGGGCUUAACCUUGGAACUGCACUUUUAACUACCGGGCUAGAGUACGUCAGAGGGGGGUAGAAUUCCACGUGUAGCAGUGAAAUGCGUAGAGAUGUGGAGGAACACCGAUGGCGAAGGCAGCCCCCUGGGCCGAUACUGACGCUCAGGCACGAAAGCGUGGGGAGCAAACAGG
rnacentral:rRNA from 1 species